rnacentral:lncRNA from 1 species
UGGAAGGGCUGGAGUUAAAGUGUUAAGCUAAAAAAAUGUCAAAUAAAAAUAAAUCAAACAUAUGCAGCAGUCCGGCGACGCAGCGACCUAUUGUGGAAGUUAGCUGACAGCAAUUGUCCCCAGCUCCGAAUCUGGAAAAAAAAAAAGAAAGAAAAAGAAAAGAAAAGAAAUGGAAGCCCUCCGUGCAAACAAAAAUGUUGACAGAGAUCAAAAUAAGGUGCUCGACGGUGACCCGGGUCCAAAGUCCAGUGAGGCUCGACUGAGAGGAUACUCAAAGCUUCCACCGACACAGCUCUGACAGAGGCUUCCACCGUCUGUCAGCUGUUGGGAACAUCAUGGAGCGCGGUGCAAUCUGGGAAAUGAAGUCAUAUAGGUUACACCAACGUGCACUCCUCUGUCGUCCGUUCGUUGCUCACGCAAGAAAGCGAAUGAAGAAAAUGAAGAGCAACGAAAGCCAUAGAAUGCAUGGAGGCAGAAAUGAAGGAAUAACAAUUUGUUACUGCAAAGUCGAAGCCGAGGGAAAAUGUAACUGUGUCUUACACCAGUCCAAAUAUCAGCUGCACAUGGUAGCACAUAGAAAUCAGACAGUGCAGAAGUGAAAAACCACGUAGAGGGAUUAGAAACCUCACUCUGGCUGUUUUCGUACACCACUGAGUCGGCCUCAAAUCACUUGAAGCUAUUAAAGUCAAAAUGAACAACUUUGGUUCGACUUAAAAUAAUCUGUAACCUGGUUGUAUUAAAAUGUUAUGUUUAUUAAUGCACAUACAGUAUAUGCGAGUUCUUACAUUUAGAAUCAUGGGUUAAGAAAGGUGACGCUGAUAAGUAGUCUCUUUAUGUUUGAAGUUUAAUCAAUAUUUACUCGCAAACAACACAUGUCAAGUUGGACAGACCUAAAUCCUGACUGAAACACAAAAGAGACUUACUAGGAAAUCCGACAAGCUUAGAUUGCUAUAUGAAAUAUUAAAAUGUAAGUCGAUUAAACUAAGCAGCUUGUUGAAUUGUCUUAUCUUUUCAAGGCGGCACUGUUACUUUCUCACAAAUAUAUUAGAAGUACAUGUAACAGCCUUCCUGUAAUGGAAUGAAACAGACACAAAGUCUCACUCUCAAGCUAUUGUUGUUGUUGGUCCACCACUUUGUGAAUUCAGCCUUGCUGUAUUAACAGCACAGAUUUGAUGAUGAAAUGCCAGCAGGACACCACGCCAAUUUCAGCUCC